GACGAACGCUGGCGGCGUGCUUAACACAUGCAAGUCGAACGGAAAGGCCCUGCUUUUGUGGGGUGCUCGAGUGGCGAACGGGUGAGUAACACGUGAGUAACCUGCCCUUGACUUUGGGAUAACUUCAGGAAACUGGGGCUAAUACCGGAUAGGAGCUCCUGCUGCAUGGUGGGGGUUGGAAAGUUUCGGCGGGUGGGGAUGGACUCGCGGCUUAUCAGCUUGUUGGUGGGGGAGUGGCUUACCAAGGCGUUGAUGGGUAGCCGGCCGGAGAGGGUGACCGGGCACACUGGGAGUGAGACACGACCCAGACUCCUACGGGAGGCAGGAGUGGGGAAGUUGGGACAAUGGGGGCAACCCUGAUCCAGCCAUGCCGCGUGCGGGAAGCAGGCCUGCGGGUUGUAAACCGCUUUUGUGCGGGAAGAAAGCCUCUGGGCUAAUACCCCGGGGGGAGGACGGGACCGGAAGAAUAAGCACCGGCUAACUACGU
rnacentral:rRNA from 1 species